AUUGAACGCUGGCGGCAGGCCUAACACAUGCAAGUCGAACGCGUCGCGGACGGGUGAGUCAUGUCUGGAACACUCCCUGAUGACUGGGAAUACCUCCUGGAACCGGUGGCUAAUACCGCAUACCAUCAGCUGUGCCCAGGUGGGAUUAGCUAGUAGGUGGGGUAUUGGCUCACCAAGGCGACGAUCCAUAGCUGGUCUGAGAGGGUGACCAGCCACACUGGAACUGAGACACGGUCCAGACUCCUACGGGAGGCAGCAGUGGGGAAUAUUGCACAAUGGGCGAAAGCCUGAUGCAGCCAUGCCGCGUGUGUGAAGAAGGCCUUCGGGUUGUAAAGCACUUUCAGCGAGGAGGCGUUACUCGCAGAAGAAGCACCGGCUAACUCCGUGCCAGCAGCCGCGGUAAUAC
rnacentral:rRNA from 1 species